UACGUAGGUGGCAAGCGUUGUCCGGAUUUACUGGGCGUAAAGAGCGCGCAGGCGGUCGGAUAAGUCGAAUGUGAAAGCCCCCGGCUCAACUGGGGAGGGUCAUUCGAUACUGUUCGACUCGAAGGCAGGAGAGGGAAGUGGAAUUCCCGGUGUAGUGGUGAAAUGCGUAGAUAUCGGGAGGAACACCAGUGGCGAAGGCGACUUCCUGGCCUGUUCUUGACGCUGAGGCACGAAAGCGUGGGGAGCAAACAGG
rnacentral:rRNA from 1 species